rnacentral:rRNA from 1 species
UACGGAGGGGACUAGCGUUGUUCGGAAUUACUGGGCGUAAAGAGUACGUAGGCUGUUGAUCAAGUUGGAUGUGAAAGCCCGGGGCUCAACCCCGGAACUGCAUUCAAAACUGAUCAGCUAGAGAUCGGAAGAGGUAAGUGGAAUUCCCAGUGUAGAGGUGAAAUUCGUAGAUAUUGGGAAGAACACCGGUGGCGAAGGCG